ACAAAUCUUUGUUGCGUUGCGAGGGAUUGCACGUGACACCAUUUGCUCCGUGUGCAUGUGCACAUUGUGACAUUUCUGCUUAAUAUCUGAUUAUUGUGCAUGGAACAGAAU
rnacentral:misc_RNA from 1 species